UCGGCGUCAGCUCUGCGUGGCUCUGAGUACUGUGGCCAGGACUUGGCACUAUUCACUGGAAGGUAGCAACAGGAUAGGACGUGGAUGAGAGCCUGUUAAAAUAUCCAAAGAAGUUUCUUUCUAGAGGCCAGGAAGUCUGAGAUCAAGUGCCAGCAUAAUUGGGGUCUGCCCUAGAAGUUUACAGCUGUUCUGGUAACUCACAAGUGGCAGUGUGAAGUCAGCAAUGGUCACAGCUCUGAAUGCGACACUAAUUCAAGUCAACAGAAGACCCUAUUAAGCCUGAAAGAGACAGAGGAGAUACAGGAAGUAUAGUAAGUUAGAGAGGUGAGACUUUAUAUUCAAUCUGAAAUCCUGCCACGGAGAGGGAGUUAUUCAAUAAAG